rnacentral:rRNA from 1 species
UGCUUUAAAAAAACAAAUUUUCUGAACAAGUCCCAUUCAAUCUGAUCUCGGAAGCUAAGCAGGGUUGGGCCUGGUUAGUACUUGGAUGGGAGACCACCUAAGAAGACCAGGUGCUGUAGGCAU